rnacentral:rRNA from 1 species
CUGCCUGGUAGUGGGGGACGAACGUUUCGAAAGGAACGCUAAUACCGCCAUACGUCCUACGGAGAAAGCAGGGACCUUCGGGCCUUGCGCUAUCAGAUGAGCCUAGGUCGGAUUAGCUAGUUGGUGAGGUAAUGGCUCACCAAGGCGACGAUCCGUAACUGGUCUGAGAGGAUGAUCAGUCACACUGGAACUGAGACACGGUCCAGACUCCUACGGGAGGCAGCAGCC